AUUUCAUCAAGUGCAAAUCAUUCUGGAACAAGUCAGAUCUACGUGCACACAUCAUUUCUGUGGUUACCCUGGCUGACCAUAUCUAGAAAAGGCGUUAUAUGAAAUAGUAAUACCAAGACUGAUCCACAUAUUUUGGAUGAAUAAACGUGUACAUUUGGUAUUUUGAAAGUCUCCUUUGUUGUUAUACAAUGAAGAAUCCACUAGAUGUCAGCAGAGC